ensembl:snRNA U2 U2 spliceosomal RNA
ACUGAUUCUCAAUCUUUUGGCUGGGCUGAGGUUCGGUAUCUGUUCUUAUCAUGUUUAUAUCUGAUACAUCCUCUGUCCAAGGACAAUAAAUUAAAUGGGUUUUGGAGAUUAGGGGAUGCAAUAGGAACUUGCUCCAUCCAUUUAUGACUCAGCCUGGUAUUAAGUCUAGGAAGGGAAAACCCCUU